rnacentral:rRNA from 1 species
UACGGAGGGUGCGAGCGUUGUCCGGAAUCAUUGGGCGUAAAGGGCGCGUAGGUGGCCCGGUCAGUUCGUGGUGAAAGCGCGGGGCUCAACCCUGCGUCGGCCAUGAAUACUGCCGCGGCUGGAGCACUGUAGAGGCAGCGGAAUUCCGGGUGUAGCGGUGGAAUGCGUAGAGAUCCGGAAGAACACCGGUGGCGAAGGCGGCC